AUUGAACGCUGGCGGCAGGCCUAACACAUGCAAGUCGAACGGUAACAGGAAGCAGCUUGCUGCUUCGCUGACGAGUGGCGGACGGGUGAGUAAUGUCUGGGAAGCUGCCUGAUGGAGGGGGAUAACUACUGGAAACGGUAGCUAAUACCGCAUAAUGUCGCAAGACCAAAGAGGGGGACCUUCGGGCCUCUUGCCAUCGGAUGUGCCCAGAUGGGAUUAGCUUGUUGGUGGGGUAACGGCUCACCAAGGCGACGAUCCCUAGCUGGUCUGAGAGGAUGACCAGCCACACUGGAACUGAGACACGGUCCAGACUCCUGCGGGAGGCAGCAGUGGGGAAUAUUGCACAAUGGGCGCAAGCCUGAUGCAGCCAUGCCGCGUGUAUGAAGAAGGCCUUCGGGUUGUAAAGUACUUUCAGCGGGGAGGAAGGGAGUAAAGUUAAUACCUUUGCUCAUUGACGUUACCCGCAGAAGAAGCACCGGCUAACUCCGUG
rnacentral:rRNA from 1 species